AGCGGCGAACGGGUGAGUAACACGUAGGUAAUCUACCUCUAAGAUGGGGACAACUUCGCGAAAGUGGAGCUAAUACCGAAUAUGACCACGAUUCCUCUGGGGAUUGUGGUAAAAGAUGGCCUCUCCUUGGAAGCUAUCACUUAGAGAUGAGCCUGCGCAGCAUUAGCUUGUUGGUAGGGUAACGGCCUACCAAGGCUGCGAUGUUUAGCUGAUCUGAGAGGAUGAUCAGCCACACUGGAACUGAAACACGGUCCAGACUCCUACGGGAGGCAGCAGUGGGGAAUAUUGCGCAAUGGGGGAAACCCUGACGCAGCAACGCCGUGUGAGUGACGAAGGCUUUCGGGUCGUAAAGCUCUGUCAGAAGGGACGAAACUUCUAAUUGCUAAUAUCGUUAGAAUUGACGGUACCUUCAGAGGAAGCACCGGCUAACUCCGUGCCAGCAGCCGCGGUAAUACGGAGGGUGCAAGCGUUGUUCGGAAUUACUGGGCGUAAAGAGCGCGUAGGCGGCCUUUUAUGUCAGGUGUGAAAGCCCUCGGCCCAACCGAGGAAGUGCGCCUGAAACUGAGAGGCUUGAGUACGAGAGGAGAGGACGGAAUUCCCAGUGUAGAGGUGAAAUUCGUAGAUAUUGGGAAGAACACCGGUGGCGAAAGCGGUCCUCUAGAUCGAUACUGACGCUGAGGCGCGAAAGCGUGGGGAGCGAACAGGAUUAGAUACCCUGGUAGUCCACGCCGUAAACGAUGGAUAUUAGUGGUUGGUGGGGUCUUAUCACUCGCAGUGCCGACGCUAACGAAUUAAAUAUCCCGCCCUGGGGAGUACGGCCGCAAGGUUAAAACUCAAGGAAUUGACGGGGGCCCGCACAAGCGGUGGAGCAUGUG
rnacentral:rRNA from 1 species